GACGAACGCUGGCGGCGUGCCUAAUACAUGCAAGUAGGACGCAGUUGCGAACGGGUGAGUAACGCGUAGGUAACUACCUAUUAGAGGGGGAUAACUAUUGGAAACGAUAGCUAAUACCGCAUACUAGUAGAUGGACCUGCGUUGUAUUAGCUAGUAGGUAGGGUAAUGGCCUACCUAGGCAACGAUACAUAGCCGACCUGAGAGGAGGAGCAGUCAAACUGGAACGUAGAACCGGCCCAGACUCCUACGGGAGGCAGCAGUAGGGAAGCGUCGGCAAUGGGGGGAACCCUGACCGAGCAACGCCGCGUGAGUGAAGAAGGUUUUCGGAUCGUAAAGCUCUGUUGUGAAGGAAGCGGUACUUAACCAGAAAGGGACGGCUAACUACGUGCCAGCAGCCGCGGUAAUAC
rnacentral:rRNA from 1 species